UACGAAGGGGGCUAGCGUUGUUCGGAUUUACUGGGCGUAAAGCGCACGUAGGCGGAUCGAUCAGUCAGGGGUGAAAUCCCAGAGCUCAACUCUGGAACUGCCUUUGAUACUGUCGAUCUGGAGUAUGGAAGAGGUGAGUGGAAUUCCGAGUGUAGAGGUGAAAUUCGUAGAUAUUCGGAGGAACACCAGUGGCGAAGGCGGCUCACUGGUCCAUUACUGACCGCUUGAGGGUGCGAAAGCG
rnacentral:rRNA from 1 species